rnacentral:misc_RNA from 1 species
CCAAUAGCGUAUAUUAAAGUUGUUGUGGUUAAAAAGCUCGUAGUUGAACCUUGGGCCUGGCUGGCCGGUCCGCCUCACCGCGUGUACUGGUCCGGCCGGGCCUUUCCCUCUGUGGAACCUCAUGCCCUUCACUGGGUGUGACGGGGAAGCAGGACUUUUACUGUGAAAAAAUUAGAGUGCUCCAAGCAGGCCUAUGCUCGAAUACAUUAGCAUGGAAUAAUAAAAUAGGACGUGCGGUUCUAUUUUGUUGGUUUCUAGGACCGCCGUAAUGAUUAAUAGGGCCAGUCGGGGGCAUCAGUAUUCAAUUGUCAGAGGUGAAAUUCUUGGAUUUAUUGAAGACUAACUACUGCGAAAGCAUUUGCCAAGGAUGUUUUCAUUAAUCAGGAACGAAAGUUAGGGGAUCGAAGACGAUCAGAUACCGUCGUAGUCUUAACCAUAAACUAUGCCGACUAGGGAUCGGACGAUGUUAUUUUUUGACUCGUUCGGCACCUUACA